GGAAGACGCUUUUCGGAGUGUAAACUGCUUUUCUGAAGGAGGAAGUUAUGUACUUCGGUGCAUAAUUGACGUUACUUCAGGAAUAAGGGGUGGCAAACUUCGUGCCAGCAGCAGCGGUAAAACGAAGACCCCAAGCGUUACCCGAAUUUAUUGGGCGUAAAGAGUGUGUAGGGGGUUUGGUAAGUCUAUGGUUAAAUCUUCCUGCUUAACGGGAAAAUCGCUGUGGAAACUACCAGACUAGAGGACGCCAGAGGAAAGUGGAACGUACGGUGUAGGGGUGGAAUCCGUUGAUAUCGUACGGAACAUCAAAGGCGAAGGCAUCUUUCUGGGGUGUUCCUGACCUUGAGACACGAAAGCAUGGGUAGCGAACGGGAUUAGAUACCCCCGUAGUCC
rnacentral:rRNA from 1 species